rnacentral:tRNA from 1 species
GGGCCUGUAGCUCAGCUGGUAGAGCAGUUGACUCUUAAUCAAUUGGUCGGGGGUUCGAUCCCUCCCAGGCCCA